CUUUGGGAGACAGAGGCAGGAGGAUCACUUGAGCCCAGGAGUUCUAGGCCGCAGUGAGCUGUGAUUACACACUGCACUCCAGCCUGGGUGAGAGAGCAAGACCCUGUCUCUACAAAAAAAAAAAAAAAAAAAAAGUUAUUAGGAGGGAAGGAGUGGUUAAACUGUGCAGUGGAACGCUACAGGUAGGUCCAGUUAGGUCAGGACAGAGAAGCAGCCCCUGCUUUUUUGCAAGGUGAAGGUCACUGGUGGUCUUAAGUGUGGUCUCAGGGGGGUAGUAGAAUUUUCAUUCAAUCCUUCCCGGCUUGGGGAGAGGAUGGGAGAUGGGAUGGACAACAUAUCCAAGAAACUUUGCUCUGAAAAUCAGCAGUGAAAAGAGGCCGUAUUUAUGAAGAUGUGGAGUCAAGAGGGGAGGCUCACAAGCUGUCAUGUAAAGCCUGCCGGUAGGCAGUGGGAAAUGGGAUGACUCAGGAGAGAAGUCCUGGAGGAGGCAGGGGAAGGG
rnacentral:lncRNA from 1 species